rnacentral:rRNA from 1 species
GAGUUUGAUCCUGGCUCAGGAUGAACGCUGGCGGCGUGCCUAAUACAUGCAAGUCGAGCGAACAGAUAAGGAGCUUGCUCCUUUGAAGUUAGCGGCGGACGGGUGAGUAACACGUGGGUAACCUACCUAUAAGACUGGGAUAACUUCGGGAAACCGGAGCUAAUACCGGAUAAUAUUUAGAACCGCAUGGUUCUAAAGUGAAAGAUGGUUUUGCUAUCACUUAUAGAUGGACCCGCGCCGUAUUAGCUAGUUGGUAAGGUAACGGCUUACCAAGGCGACGAUACGUAGCCGACCUGAGAGGGUGAUCGGCCACACUGGAACUGAGACACGGUCCAGACUCCUACGGGAGGCAGCAGUAGGGAAUCUUCCGCAAUGGGCGAAAGCCUGACGGAGCAACGCCGCGUGAGUGAUGAAGGGUUUCGGCUCGUAAAACUCUGUUAUUAGGGAAGAACAAAUGUGUAAGUAACUGUGCACAUCUUGACGGUACCUAAUCAGAAAGC